rnacentral:rRNA from 1 species
AUUGAACGCUGGCGGCAUGCUUUACACAUGCAAGUCGAACGGUAACAGGUUAAGCUGACGAGUGGCGAACGGGUGAGUAAUGCAUCGGAACGUGCCCGAUCGUGGGGGAUAACACUUCGAAAGAAGUGCUAAUACCGCAUACGAUCUGAGGAUGAAAGCGGGGGACCGUAAGGCCUCGCGCGAUCGGAGCGGCCGAUGUCAGAUUAGGUAGUUGGUGGGGUAAAGGCUCACCAAGCCGACGAUCUGUAGCUGGUCUGAGAGGACGACCAGCCACACUGGGGCUGAGACACGGCCCAGACUCCUACGGGAGGCAGCAGUGGGGAAUUUUGGACAAUGGGCGCAAGCCUGAUCCAGCAAUGCCGCGUGCAGGAAGAAGGCCUUCGGGUUGUAAACUGCUUUUGUACGGAGCGAAAAGGCUCUCUCUAAUACAGGGGGCUCAUGACGGUACCGUAAGAAUAAGCACCGGCUAACUACGUGCCAGCAGCCGCAGUAA